rnacentral:rRNA from 1 species
UACAGAGGGGGCAAGCGUUGUUCGGAAUUACUGGGCGUAAAGGGCGCGUAGGCGGCCUGCUAAGUCGAACGUGAAAUCCCCGGGCUCAACCCGGGAACUGCGUCCGAUACUGGUUGGCUUGAAUCCGGGAGAGGGAUGCGGAAUUCCAGGUGUAGCGGUGAAAUGCGUAGAUAUCAAGAGGAACACCUGAGGUGAAGACGGGUUGCUGGGCCAACACUGACGCUGAGGCGCGAAAGCCAGGGGAGCAAACGGG